CUCGGUUACACCUGCUCUCAUUGUCGACGUCUUCUCACAACCAGUAGACAAAACCUAUUUUCCUUUCUACGCAUCUCAAUAUAGGCGGAUCUAGGAUACGUCGUAUGUGAUUUACUGCAUGUAUCAAAAUAUGCAGUAACGUCUUUUUUUUUUCGAACGGUUUGCUGCCAUAGUAGUUUAUGUUACCAAAAUCGAUCCGGAAAAGUGAAGUGAAAUAAAAACUGCAUGUAAGGAUAUCUUCAUCGUAACCCCAUCUUGUGUGAUAUGGUGGAGAUGGAGCUUAAUGGUCAACUAGUGAUCUUGCGCAAAGAGGGCCACGAGAAGUUUUUCCGCUUACCGUAAUGCCAGGUCUCGAAUAACCCGUGCACCUACUGACGACGGGUAAACGGACUUAAUCGGACUUAAGCCUCUAUAACUAUCAUGGUUUUGCGUGACUGUGGUAUAAAUAAUUAUUCAUGGUAAAUUCUAAUCCGUGACUAUGAUGAUCCGCAAUGCAGUGCAAAUAUCGAAACCAUUGUUGUGUCAGAACGAGGCCUUAUUCCAGUAAAAUCGUUAAGAUCUCCUUCAAGAACAACCACGUAGAACACGUCGUUGCCAGCUGUGACAUGUGAUUCAACGAAUCACGUUUGGCAUAUAUACAUAUAAACACAUAUCUACUUAAGUAGCUUCCAGGUUGUACCCGGGGGCCACUUCAGGAUAUUUCCCCUAAAUGAACAUAGACGGCAUGCUAUAAAAAAUAUUGUUAAGUUUAAUAGCAUUAGACUUGAAAGCCAACGUUCCCCUGCUUGAGAAAAGAGAGUGAGCUAGAUAGCGUCUGUUCCAUAUGGCAUCACCUUCUUUUAUGUAGAAAAAAUAUAAGUGUGUAUGUCCAUUGUAUCCCAUCUAUAGAGACUCUAACGAUAUAUGCGAUUUUUAAGCUUAGGUUUGACUUCCGGAGGAAGCUUUACGAUGAAAAAGACAUGUCUAAAGAACAUGAGGUUUACGGUAAA